rnacentral:lncRNA from 1 species
GCUGUUAGCCGAUAGAAUACUCAUAGAUGAGGAGCCAUCAGAAGAGUCCAGCUAACACAGAUGACAAUUCACCACCGAGAAGCUCAGGGAAGAAACUCAAACAGGAAUGCAACGCAGAAACCAUGGAGGAAUUAAUGCUACUUGCUGACUUCCUUUCUGGCUCACUUACUGGUUCAGACACUGACUCGUGCUUAGCUAAUUUUCUUCUACAUCGCAAGAUUACCUGCUCAGGGCUGGUUCCUUCUACCAUGAGCUAGACCCUCUUGCAUUAGCAUCUGAGAAAAUCGCCCACAGACUAUCAUCUAGACCAUUCCUCAACAGAGGCUUUCCCCUGAAGAUGGCUAGGUUAUGGAUAUGUGAAGAAAAGUCAAAGAAAAUAGCAAUUGCAAAAUGAACUACCAAUGCUUUAAAUAUGUCAUGAUCUCAUACAAUUCAAUUAAAUGAACCUGAUGAAAAGGGGAUUAAAGAUGGUAUCUCAGAUCCAAACCAUAGCAAGUUACAGUCCGGAGUCAAACAAAUGGUUUAUUUCCCUCUGCAUCUUUUCCUGUAAUUAUUUCCUUAACUCAUGGCUGUCACUUUGACUUUAAGGCAAAAGCAGAGGAAAUGUGGUGUUUGAAUUUAUGCCAGAGCAAUUUUUUCCUGCCUUGGAGAAAGAUAAUAUUUCUAAAGUCUGUAAUAGUUUCUUGACAUGCCUUGGAGAAUCAAUGGUCUAUUAUUUGAAAGAGGAGAAAAGGAGCGGCCCAGCUCUAAAGAAAGCUUGCCAACCACUUGACUACGAGGACACUGAUUACCAAGAUGGCUCGGCAUGCCCUGGAUGCCCACCCGAGGUCCAUUCCAGCUGUCCUGGCGAUCCCGUCCAAGAAGCAUCCCUACGAUGCAGCCAAAAGACUCCAUCCUGCACAGUGCCAAGGGACUGCAGGCAAAUAAGCAAUAUCCUGCCUCUUUGGCAAAUAAUGGAUCGUUUGGCUUCCUGAACUUCUGCAUAGAUUGUGUGUCUCUCCCUGCGUUUACUUAACAUCUUGAGCAGAAAUGAUGGAAUUAGAGUGAUUUCUUACUGGAAACCAAGCACAGAGAGGAGCAAGUGCUGACUACUUUGGCCACGGUGCAAGAUAAAACAGAUGUCCAGAAAAGUCACUCCCUCACAUUACUUUAAAAUAUAUGUUUCACCGAUCUUCUUUAUCGCAGAAAAAAUUCUUUCCAACUCAUCCUUUCUGUUGCUGAUCUUAUAAGCACCCAUAUCAAAUUAUAGAUUUGAAAUAGAAGAGUCACCCUAGACCUCUAAUGUCAAGUGAGAGUGUAAAUAAAUCAAGUAAAAUUGCUUUGCCUUUACUAUUAAAUAAAACAUUAUGGAAGCAU